rnacentral:rRNA from 1 species
CAGCAGCCGCGGUAAUACGUAGGGUGCAAGCGUUAAUCGGAAUUACUGGGCGUAAAGCGUGCGCAGGCGGUUCGGAAAGAAAGAUGUGAAAUCCCAGAGCUUAACUUUGGAACUGCAUUUUUAACUACCGGGCUAGAGUGUGUCAGAGGGAGGUGGAAUUCCGCGUGUAGCAGUGAAAUGCGUAGAUAUGCGGAGGAACACCGAUGGCGAAGGCAGCCUCCUGGGAUAACACUGACGCUCAUGCACGAAAGCGUGGGGAGCAAACAGGAUUAGAUACCCGCGUAGUCCCUGUCUCUUAUAC